UCUCUAAACAAUGAAGUAAGAGUAAACAGUUUUCGGAUGCUGUGCAAGUCCAUUAGAAUGUCUUAUCAAAGUAAAAUAGUUCUGUAAAAGCCGUAUCUAUAUGUGUUUGUAUGUUCCUGAGCUGCAUCCACAGAUGUAUCUGUAUCUAUCAGCGCUGGCACAUCAUCAGUCAUUAGUGGCGCCAUUGUUGGCUCCUUAAAUAUUGCCGUCUUUGUUGCGGCGAGUGGCCCCCAUUGUUACUGUCUCCCUCGAAUUCUAGACUCUCUCCUCUCCCCUUUCUAUGCGCUUUUAUUAACUUUGGCCAAAAUGUGGCUGACUGCCACUUGAAGGCAUCAAUGGACAACUAAGUUUCAUAAACAACAAGCUCUUCGGCCCAUCAUUCAUCUUUUUUUGUGUGUGUCGAGUUGAAGACGCUUUAAAAGCGUUUUCUUCACAGACUGAUUUGAGCCAUCCGAUGAGUGAUAUUUUUAAGGCAGACAAUGCCUUCGGG
ensembl:ncRNA lncRNA:CR45904 long non-coding RNA:CR45904